UACAGAGGUCCCGAGCGUUGUUCGGAUUUAUUGGGCGUAAAGGGUGCGUAGGCGGCGGAGCAAGUUGGGUGUGAAAUCCCGGGGCUCAACCUCGGAAUGGCAUUCAAUACUGCUUCGCUCGAGUACUGGAGAGGAGGCUGGAAUUUACGGUGUAGCAGUGAAAUGCGUAGAUAUCGUAAGGAAGGCCGGUGGCGAAAGCGAGCCUCUGGACAGUUACUGACGCUGAUGCACGAAGGCCAGGGGAGCAAACGGG
rnacentral:rRNA from 1 species